GACGAACGCUGGCGGCGUGCUUAACACAUGCAAGUCGAACGAUGAAGCCGGAGCUUGCUCUGGUGAAUUAGUGGCGAACGGGUGAGUAACACGUGAGUAACCUGCCCUUGACUCUGGGAUAACUGCGGGAAACUGUAGCUAAUACCGGAUACGACCCUCGGAGGCAUCUCCUGGGGGUGGAAAGAAUUUCGGUGAAGGAUGGACUCGCGGCCUAUCAGCUAGUUGGUGAGGUAAGGGCUCACCAAGGCGACGACGGGCAGCCGGCCUGAGAGGGUGACCGGCCACACUGGGACUGAGACACGGCCCAGACUCCUACGGGAGGCAGCAGUGGGGAAUAUUGCACAAUGGGCGCAAGCCUGAUGCAGCAACGCCGCGUGAGGGAUGACGGCCUUCGGGUUGUAAACCUCUUUUAGCAGGGAAGAAGCGAAAGUGACGGUACCUGCAGAAAAAGCACCGGCUAACUACGUGCCAGCAGCCGCCGUAA
rnacentral:rRNA from 1 species